rnacentral:tRNA from 1 species
GGGAGUGUAGCUCAGUGGUAGAGCUCUUGACUAAGAUGUUUGAAUUCCUAGGUUUAAUCCCUAGCACUGCAA